rnacentral:rRNA from 1 species
UACGGAGGGAGCUAGCGUUAUUCGGAAUUACUGGGCGUAAAGCGUACGUAGGCGGCUUUGUAAGUAAGAGGUGAAAGCCCGGAGCUCAACUCCGGAACUGCCUUUUAGACUGCAUCGCUUGAAUCCAGGAGAGGUGAGUGGAAUUCCGAGUGUAGAGGUGAAAUUCGUAGAUAUUAGGAAGAACACCAGUGCGGAGGACGGCG